GGUCUGUUAGUCUAGUGGUUAGGACGUUGGAUUUUGAUCAUACCAGCAUUCCAAAGACACCAGUUCGAACCUGGUACGGACCU
rnacentral:tRNA from 1 species